GAUGAAGAACGUAGCGAAAUGCGAUACGUAAUGUGAAUUGCAGAAUUCAGUGAAUCAUCGAAUCUUUGAACGCAUAUUGCGCUCUCUGGUAUUCCGGAGAGCAUGCUUGUUUGAGUAUCAGUAAACACCUCAACUUCCAUAUCUUUUUUGAAAUGGGAGUUGGACUUGAGUGAUCCCAACGCUUUUCCUCACCGAAAAGUGGCGGGUUACUUGAAAUGCAGGUGCAGCUGGACUUUUCUCUGAGCUAUAAGCAUAUCUAUUUAGUCUGCCUAAAAAACAGAUUAUUACCUUUGCUGCAGCUAACAUAAAGGAGAUUAGUUCUUGUGCUGACUGAUGCAGGAUUCACAAAGACGGCUUCGGCCGACUUUGUAAACUCGAUCUCAAAUCAAGUAAGACUACCCGCUGAACUUAAGCAUAUCAAUAACGGAGGA
rnacentral:misc_RNA from 1 species